UAGGGAAUCUUCGGCAAUGGGGGGAACCCUGACCGAGCAACGCCGCGUGAGUGAAGAAGGUUUUCGGAUCGUAAAGCUCUGUUGUUAAGGAAGAACGAGUGUGAGAAUGGAAAGUUCAUGCUGUGACGGUACUUAACCAGAAAGGGACGGCUAACUACGUGCCAGCAGCCGCGGUAAUACGUAGGUGGCAAGCGUUGUCCGGAUUUAUUGGGCGUAAAGCGAGCGCAGGCGGUUAGAAAAGUCUGAAGUGAAAGGCAGUGGCUCAACCAUUGUAGGCUUUGGAAACUGUUUAACUUGAGUGCAGAAGGGGAGAGUGGAAUUCCAUGUGUAGCGGUGAAAUGCGUAGAUAUAUGGAGGAACGCCGGUGGCGAAAGCGGCUCUCUGGUCUGUAACUGACGCUGAGGCUCGAAAGCGUGGGGAGCGAACAGG
rnacentral:rRNA from 1 species